AUUUUUAAAUUAUUUUUAGCCGGAUCCCCGCACCAGUGUCGGUUCUAGGAUCCGUAUCCCCGAAUCUUAAAAUUUCUAUCUCAAAGGAUCCGACCUCUNNNNNNNNNNNNNNNNNNNNNNNNNNNNNNNNNNNNNACAAUAAAUUUCUAUCUCAAAGGAUCCGACCUCUAGAUCCGCACCCGUGUCGGACACCCGUACCCGUGUCAGAGCAACUUAGCCUGGUAUGGCAUGUGAUUGAGAUUUCUGUCUCUCACUUGCGAUUGGUGUUUUGCAGCCAUCGCGUAGCGGGCUUCUCUUUGCCUCAUCAUAACACAUCUGAGCCCCAUUUGCCGAAAAGAGAAAAAAAAAGAUAAUCUUUUCUGUGAUUUGGAUUAAAAGGAAAAUAGGGAGGGGAGCCUCGGAGCAAUGGUAAAGUUGUCUUCAGGUUCGAGCCAUGAAAGUAGCCCAUAAUACUUGCAUUAGGGUAUAUUGUUUAUAUCACACAUCUUGGAUGUGGUCCUUCCCCGGACCCUGUGUGAAAGCGGGAUACCUUGUGCACCGGGCUGCCAUUGGAUUAACAUGACAAAAAACUCAUUAGUUUAAGUCCGAGGCUGCGGUCUAGGCAGAGAGCUGUAGGGAGUUUCAUUGGGUGGUUUUGCCCCUCUCUGUGAUUGUCCCUCGCCGAUGACUUAAGUCUGAGGCUGCGGUCUAGGCAGAGAGCUGUAGGGAGUUUCAUUGGGUGGUUUUGCCCCUCUCUGUGAUUGUCCCUCGCUGAUGAUAUGUCUGUUUUUAGAACCACCCUUUUGGUGAAAAUAUGUAUUACUAUCUCCCUUUCAACUUAUGUGAUGCUAUGAGGCUAUGAAGAUUUUAUUCUUAAUCAGACUUAUAAAUUUAUUGAGCUGGGAAAAAAUUGUAAUCUCGGUGUGGCAACUCAGAUGGGUCUUUGAGAUAUUGGAGAAAAAAUCCAUUUCUGUGUGUGUGUUUUCCUGUUUCAUAAGACUAACUGAUGCUUGCAGCCACAACGGUCUUUUUCCACGGCUUUUUGGGUAUUUGUCUGAGAAAAGGAGAAGAAUGAGGCAACAGAGUGAUUGGGAUUUUCUGUAAAAAGGGUGGUUGCCCCUCUCUGUUAUGCCUGUGAUUUCUCCAUUAAAAAUCAUUAACACCCCCCCCCCCCCCCCCCAAAAAAAAUCAUCAUCCAAACAGACCCUUAAUAUUUUUCUCUUCCUCCUCUCUUGUGUUGCUGCUACUGAAUACUGAUGUAUAUAAAGGGUCUGUGAUGAUUGCUUUUCCUUUCUGGAUCUGGGCUAUGUUCAAUUCAUGGCAUUGAAAAAAUAUCCGACCUGUAUGUUGGCAGAUCGUCCGUUACCGCUUUUGUAUAGCAAAUUGGUGUCUGCAGCUAUGGCAGCAUCGCCUUCUCAUUUGCUUUGGCAAAAAUUAUAGCAAACCUGAGCCCUCACGAAAAGGCCCAUGUAGUUGCCUGUUUAGCCGUGCUUCUAAAAGCAGCUUAUAUUCUAAUAACCUGUUUAACCGUAUUUGAGAUUAUCUGACCCGUAUUUUGGCGGGGCAUUCUUCAGGUUUCCCUUCGUGGUAUUUGCAGCCAUGGCGGUGUCGGACUCUUUUUGCUUGAGUUAGAACACAGAUUUGAGCCUCAAAAUGGAAACACAAAAAUGGUGACAAUCUUAUUAGUUUAAGUCUAAGGCUGUGGUGAAAGCAGAGAGCUGUGGGUGGUUUUGCCCCUGCAUAUUUCUGCUGCCAAUGAUCUCUCAAAUGAAAAAAUUUCCAAUUGCAAAACCACCCUUUUUGUGAAAUUUCAGUUGACCUCCCUCGUUUCCACUUCUAGUAACUCCUUCCGCUUAAUUUUAUGUGCAACGAGGCUAUGAAGAUCUUGUUCUUCUGUGGAAGAUGAAUCAGAUGUAUCAUUCUAAUGAGCUGGAAAAUCUGUAUCUUGGCAUGGCAGCUCAGAUAGAUCUUUCAGAUAUUUGGAAAAAUUCCAUCUUUUUGGUUUUUCUUCGGUGUCUCACAAGACUAACUGAUACUUGCAGCUAUGUCUGCUUUUUCAAAGCUUUUUGGUUUUUGUCUGAGAAAAGGCGAAUCUGAGCCUACUACAUUGCCUUGAUUUUGUUAAAAGAAUGAGUUUUUUACACUCGGAAAAUGAAUUAGAUCGUAAGGGUGGUUGCUCUGUUUCUUUUUGAGUUGAUACAUGUCUUGGCUUCACAAAGUUCAGUCGAAUUUGUGAGUUUUAUUUUCUCCUACAAUAAGCCAUCUGCCUUUUGCAGCCAUGGCGGCCUUGCCCAUUUUCUGAUGGUUUUUGGACAAAUCCGAGCCUCAUUUCUGUUAAACUUUGAAUUCCUUCUACAAUCGAUCUUCUCUUAUUAUGUUCUUUCUAAUUUUUAAUGUUUUGAAUUCUCUAGCAUGGUGACCUUCUCCAUAAAUCUGGAAAAAUUCCAAUUUCAAAAAGGUGUCAUUUAGUCCUCAAAUUUGGUUAUGCCCUCUUUUGGAUGUUGAGAACCCAAAUUACCGAGGCAGUUAAUAUUUUUGAUGUUUAAAAGACUGAAACUUUAUUUUUGAGUUAAUUCCUAGACUUGGCUUGGCAAACAUUAUUCCGAAAUAAUUUCUCUAAAUUUAUUCUGAAUAUUAGUAUUUGAACAGAAGAUGAGGAUGACAGCAAAACUGUCACAAUUUUUGGAAUCCUAGGUAUUGAUGUGAAUGUUAGGUAUGUUUUGAGUUACUAUAUUUUGCAAAAGAUGAACUUUUUGAUACCUUAUUCUGCUUUGUCCGUUUUUGAAUACUCUGUAAUGAAUUUCUAUGCUGCUUCAUUGACAUGAGUGUGCGAAAAAUGGUUUCUUUUGACGUGAAUUCUAGGAAUGCAAAUGCUAAUGUCUAUUAUUGAGUUUCUUUGUUGAUAAAUAUGUUCCUUUUGAUACUUGUCAUUUUUUAGUUUCUCCCGUUUCUUGACUUUGUAAUGAAUGUGAAUGUGAAUGUGAAUGUGAAGAGAUGGGUGUUUCUUAAUUUUCUCUCUCUUUGUCUAGAAUCAUAGGCAUUAUUGCUAAAGAUGAACUUUCCGUCUUUCCAAUACUUUAACCCAUAUUCUCUGUUUUUGAACUCUCCGUAAAGAAUCAGAAUACUGCCUCUUUGAUACAGGAAAUUUGUUUCCUUCUGUCCAUAAAUUUAGGCACGUGAAUACUGACGUCUAUGUUUGAGUUACUUUGUUGCUAAGAUGCUUUAUUGGAUUUAUCCUUGUUGAGCUCCAUAAUUUCGUCAUCAUUACCUGUACUUUGAAUUGUAAUAUACUAAACUUUGAAAAUAAUGUAAUACUACUGAAUCGAUCUAUGCAGGACCUCUGCAGUUGCUGUUGUCAGAAUACAAGCCAAAAGCUAAAUUCUGCAUCUGUUGGUAAUUUUUGUGUUAACCCACUAUUUUUUUUGAGCUUGUAUACCACUUGUUCCUUUUAUGGGGUAUGGUAUUAGGCAAACUGGAAGUUUGUAAAAGAAUAUGGAGAAAGAUUGAGAGGGCUGUCACAUUCACGACUUGCAUUUCUAUUCCAUUUUCCAUCGUCGAUAUGUGACGAGUUGGUAUUGGAGAAAGGGUUGAAGAUGCAAGUUAUCAUGAGGCUCUAAUACACACAUACUAAUAUAAUCUGUCUGUCGGCUAUUCAACUAGAAUGGCAAUAUAAUGGUGUAAUGUGAUUUAUCAUUUGUGUACAUGGGUUCAUUGCAAUAGUUCGCAUGCACUUUGUGAUUGACCUAAACAGGAAAUCAUAAACCUUGCUAUAUUUUAGUUAGUCAGGUUCUUGAUACUGGUAUGUGUUAUCUUAGGGUUUCUUUUUUCUUGACGAAUUAUCUCAUAGUUUGUUAUCUUGUAGAUAACAAGAGAUAUAGUACUUAUCAAAAGGGAAAAAAGAGCGUGAUAAUACGCUAUCAUCGAAGGUUGUGGAUUAGUCGUCAAUAAAGUGGGUGCGAGAAAGAGUGAAAAAACAGUGGAAGAAAGAUAGAUUUCCUGGUUCUUCAAACCGAAUGAGGAAGUGGAAAAAUGAAUAAGUGUGUAGUGAAAUGAAGGUUAAUUUACUGACUUCAGCAAAAACAAUCCCCAAAGUGUUGACUAUACUUGUUUUGGAACCAUUUCUUCAAUUGCAAAGACUCUAACCUUUUAAGUCUCGAGUUCGAGCAUUGUGAGUGAAAAAACUUUUGUUAGGAAAUGCAUAUCCGUUUAAUUAGCCUUGCACCGCACGGAUGUGAAUUAGUUUUGGUUUCUGCUGUUCAUUCUUCCACUUUGUAAAAUUUCUCUGUUACUUCUGAUUGUCUUUGAAUUACAUGAAUCAAAUUAACAUUAUAGUGUAUUUGAAUAUACAAGAACCAAAAUAGAAUAUUCAGUCAAAGAUUGACUGCUGAAUUUAUCCCUUUUUUGUAUUUGUUAGAAGAGUUUUAAGUUAUAUAUACCAUCAGUAUAAGGAAUUUUUACACUGUCAGAACAUCAGUAUCAUCUGCGGCAAUUAGUAAAUUUUUGAUGGCUUCUAACACCAGCAGGGUGAUGAAAAUCACUGGUUAGUAUAUUAGUUACUAUACAUUUGCAGCAGGUGACUUUUAUCACAUUGUGUGACUCUAUCAAGGGGUUGUUGGACCAAUUGAUUGAAUUUCAGAAUUCAGAUUAUGACUUCCAUUUGAUAGCCUUUUGACAUUUGAAUUAUCACAUUCUGUGAUCUUUCAUGCAUAGUGAACACUAAAGCUCUAGUGACUCAAUUUUUGUUGAAGAGUCAAAUAUAAAAUGCUUUUUCGUGCUAAACUUUCCAUUGUUAUUGUUGUGUUAGAUUUUGGACCAGAUCAAAAUUUGUACAUAUAUAAUAAAUUUUAUAACAAAAAUAUAGGAUUUGAGAUUAACUUAUUGGAUUUGGCCAUACCAGUAAGUUGCCUUCUAGCUCGGGCCCUUUAGAGUAUCUUUUAAAGCAAAGCCAGAACCUUUUCUCUUGUUGCUUUCCCUCCCCCUUUCUAAGUGGUAUAUAAGGUAUGUGAUGAUUGUUGCACUAAGGGGUCGUUUUGUUUUAAUACCCCUUGUAGUGGGAUAAGUUACGCUGGGACAAGUUAUGCUUGUAUUAUUUUUUAUUUACUGUUUGAUAUGUUGUAUU
rnacentral:lncRNA from 1 species